rnacentral:rRNA from 1 species
GACGAACGCUGGCGGCGUGCCUAAUACAUGCAAGUUGAGCGCUGAAGGCUGGUACUUGUACCAACUGGAUGAGCAGCGAACGGGUGAGUAACGCGUGGGGAAUCUGCCUUUGAGCGGGGGACAACAUUUGGAAACGAAUGCUAAUACCGCAUAAAAACUUUAAACACAAGUUGUAAGUUUGAAAGAUGCAAUUGCAUCACUCAAAGAUGAUCCCGCGUUGUGUUAGCUAGUUGGUGAGGUAAAGGCUCACCAAGGCGAUGAUACAUAGCCGACCUGAGAGGGUGAUCGGCCACAUUGGGACUGAGACACGGCCCAAACUCCUACGGGAGGCAGCAGUAGGGAAUCUUCGGCAAUGGACGAAAGUCUGACCGAGCAACGCCGCGUGAGUGAAGAAGGUUUUCGGAUCGUAAAACUCUGUUGGUAGAGAAGAACGUGCGUGAGAGUGGAAAGCUCAUCAAGUGACGGUAACUACCCAGAAAGGGACGGCUAACUACGUG